GACGAACGCUGGCGGCAUGCCUAAUACAUGCAAGUCGAGCGAACAGAUGAAGUGCUUGCACUUCUGACGUUAGCGGCGAACGGGUGAGUAACACGUAAGGAAUCUACCUAUAAGCGGGGGAUAACAUUCGGAAACGGGUGCUAAUACCGCAUAAUAUCUUCUUCCGCAUGGAAGAAGAUUGAAAGACGGCUCUGCUGUCACUUAUAGAUGACCUUGCGGUGCAUUAGUUAGUUGGUGGGGUAACGGCCUACCAAGACGAUGAUGCAUAGCCGACCUGAGAGGGUGGUCGGCCACAUUGGGACUGAGACACGGCCCAAACUCCUACGGGAGGCAGCAGUAGGGAAUCUUCCGCAAUGGGCGAAAGCCUGACGGAGCGAUGCCGCGUGAGUGAAGAAGGCCUUCGGGUCGUAAAACUCUGUUAUAAGAGAAGAACAAAUUGUAGAGUAACUGCUACAGUCUUGACGGUAUCUUAUCAGAAAGCCACGGCUAACUACGUGCCAGCAGCCGCCGUAA
rnacentral:rRNA from 1 species